ensembl:lncRNA LUCAT1 lung cancer associated transcript 1
GGGCAAUGUGAUUUGUCACUUAAAGAGGACGGCAGAUCAAGAGCAUCUCAUCCUCCGGCUGCUGAGUCAUCCUGCUCUGGCAGUUAUUUAAACAGAAGGCUCCAGGAGACAUACAAUCAACACUCCACUCAGACAAUGCCCAGACCUCCAGAAACCAUGUGUCAAGCUCGGAUUGCCUUAGACAGGUGCAAUUUAAGAACAGCUUUCAUCCUCUUUUCUCUCAUAUUGUCACACUAUGUGUUCUGACUUCUGGCUCCUUUCCUCACAAGAAGCUCACCCAGCUGGAACUCUUAUGGGACCUUGGCACCAGAGACCACAAAUUCCUCUUUGAAGUUUUCUAACAGCAACAAUGGUAUUUCUGACUUGGCUUUCUUGUAUUUCUCUCACGUUAACAAAAUUGGUUCAGCAUCUACCAUGGGCUACAUGCUGAGCUACAGAGUUUCGCUCUGUCGCCCAGGCUGGAGUGCAGUGGCGCGCGAUCUCGGUUCACUGCAAGCUCCACCUCCCGGGUUCACGCCAUUCUCCUGCCUCAGCCUCCUGAGUAGCUGGGACUACAGGCGCCCGCCACCACACCCAGGAAAAACGGAGCCCGAGCAGCUAAGGAUCUUGCCCACGGUCACUGAAUUAGCAAUGCUUGUGAUGAACAUUCCCAAAGCUUUUAUGAGCUCUACGAUCUGGAAUAGGUCUCUUUGUGAUCUGUUCUCCUACUUGCUAAAUAUAUGAAAUAUUAAACUUCAUAAUCACAAAGUUUCUGUAUCCAUCUAAAAAUGCCAAAGAUUGCAUUGCUAUUUAUUGAGCGCCAAUGUUCAGAGAAUGUUGCUACCUAUUGUGGAUGCUAUAACAUGCAUGUAAGAAUUUGUCUCUUGUCUCAAGAGUGCUUACAGUUUAGUUGGAGAGACAUUUAUAUAGACACUUAUGAGACAUGUAAACCACUGACAUAGCCACUUGACAUGGCUGAAGUUCAAAUGUCAAAAGGAUAAGACAUGAACAGCAAUGUAUGCCACAAGGUCCUGCAGAGGGUGAGAUCCAUUUGGCUUGAGGUGUUAGUGAUCAGUCUUCAAAGAGAAAAUAGGAGUUUUAUCUGUGCAUUAAGGCUGAGUUGGAUUUGAAUACAGAGACAGGAGAAGGGAAGUCAUCAUGUGCCUUGAACUAGUGCAAAAGUACAGAGGUAAAGAUAGUCACCGUUAAGCGUCCCACGAUUUAGUACUGAAAAUUGCAGAGAUUACUGAAUGAAUUUAUUAAAGGAAAUAAUUCUGAGUCUGUCAAUACAGUCAUGCAUUGCUUAAUGAUGGAGAUACAUUCUGAGAAACAAAUCCAUAGGUGAUUUCAUCAUUGUGUGAACACCACAGAGUACACAGACCUAGAUGGUAUAGCCUACUAUACACCUAGGCUAUAUAGUAUAGCUGUGAAAGGAAAAUAAAAUCUUGGAAUACUAAACUCACUAUGCCAAAGGGAGAAGUUAAGCUUGGGAAAGAAGUCAUGCAAAAACUGCCUUCCUUUUGCUCCUAAACAGCUGCAGCACAGAGGGCCACAUAGCUCCCCACGUGGCCUCCCUCACAAACUGCUCACAAUGAAAUUCUUUGUGGGCCCAAGUCUUUAUCCUAAAACAGAGUUCUGUGGAAUCACAUCCUGAUAACGUAAAUUAACAGUUUACCUUCACAGGUACUGGACAAAUACAAGAUUAGAAAUCAUCCCUCUGCCCACCCUGAGAAAUAUUCAUGUUUGACUUCUGAUAUGGUCUGUGUCCCCACCCAAAUUUCAUCAUGAAUUCCUACCUGUUCUGGGAAGGGCCCUGUAGGAGGUAAUUGAAUCCUGAGGGCGGGUCUUUCCCAUGCUGUUCUCGUGAUAGUGAAUAAGUCUCAUGAGAUCUGACAGUUUUAGAAGAGGGAAUUUCCCUGCAAAAGCUCCUUUUUAUGCCUGCUGCCAUCCAUGUAAGACAUGACUUGCUCCUCCUUUCCUUCCGCUAUGAUUGUGAGGCUUCUCCAGCCAUUGUGGAACUGUAAGUCCAUUAAACUCUUUUUCCU